UACGUAGGGUGCAAGCGUUUGUCCGGAUUUAUUGGGCGUAAAGAGCUCGUAGGCGGUUUGUCGCGUUCGGAUGUGAAAUCCCAGGGCUCAACCCUGGGCCUGCAUUCGAUACGGGCAGACUAGAGUAUGGCAGGGGAGACUGGAAGUUCCUGGUGGUAGCGGUGAAAUGCGCAGAUAUCAGGAGGAACACCGGUGGCGAAGGCGGGUCUCUGGGCCAAAACUGGACGCUGGAGGAAGCGAAAGCGUGGGGAGCGAACAGGA
rnacentral:rRNA from 1 species